rnacentral:snRNA from 1 species
GAGCUGUGUGGUCGACACAGUGCCAACUAUUCUUUCUCCUUUUACUAAAGAAUACUGUGUGCUUGCCACUCAGAUUGCAUCCACCAAUUUUUUAAGUCUUCCAUCUCUUUAAAUGGAGGC